rnacentral:rRNA from 1 species
AUUGAACGCUGGCGGCAUGCCUUACACAUGCAAGUCGAACGGCAGCACAGGUGCUUGCACCUGGUGGCGAGUGGCGAACGGGUGAGUAAUACAUCGGAACGUACCUUAUCGUGGGGGAUAACGCAGCGAAAGUUGCGCUAAUACCGCAUACGCCCUGAGGGGGAAAGCGGGGGACCGUAAGGCCUCGCGCGAUUAGAGCGGCCGAUGUCUGAUUAGCUAGUUGGUGAGGUAAAGGCUCACCAAGGCAACGAUCAGUAGCUGGUCUGAGAGGAAGAUCAGCCACACGGGGACUGAGAGACGGACCAGAGUCCUACGGGGGGCAGCAGUGGGGAAUUUUGGACAAUGGGGGCAACCCUGAUCCAGCAAUGCCGCGUGAGUGAAGAAGGCCUUCGGGUUGUAAAGCUCUUUUGUCAGGGAAGAAACAGCAGCUCUAACACAGUUUGCGAAUGACGGUACCUGAAGAAUAAGCACCGGCUAACUACGUGCCAGCAGCCGCCGUAA